UGAAAGGGCGAAUGUGCCAUGUAGUGUAAAAGCGCUUUGAGUGGUCGGAAGACUAGAAAGGCGCUUUACAAGUACCAUUUACCAUUUAACACCCGAAAGUGCCAUUUCCUGCAAUAUAGAGCCUUAAGUCAUGACCAGUAAAGCUACUUCUUCACUAUUAAGUUCAGUACUUUCAGAUAAAUAUAACGCAAAAUAAACACUGACUCAUAACACUGUUAAUUCACCGUGUGUGUCUUUUGGUCCAUAGCUAUUUUUGUCUAAACCCCGAUUUGUGCAAGCAUUAUAUGAGGGGAAAUCUCUAAGACAGGUGUUCUCAAUUUUAAGUUAAUUUAAGAUUUAUAGAUCCCAGGUGCAUAAUUUACUAACGGGCCUCACCUAUUGGUAAACCCAUUUGUAUCCAUUGUGGUUCUAAGAGCAGCAAGGUUUUUUUAUGCUCAACAUUUUAUGAAUCCAACAUAAACACACCAUCAGAAAGGAUCUUAAGAUCUUCAAAUAUAAAACUAAACACUGUUAUAAGUGUGACCCCUGAAGAAUAUUAACCUUAGAAUGUUGCAUGCUGGGAAGUAUAUGUGCAUACACAAACAAUGUUUCUAAAUAAACUUAAUUUAAUGCUUUAAGUAAAGGAUCUAUUGGACUGGCUGAAUUCAUGAUUAUAUAUGUUGGAAAUUAAAAAUAAAACCAAUAAACUUGGAUCUACAAGAUCUACAAGGCAAAACAGAAGUGAAUAAAAAAACUAUUUUUGGUAAACGUCAACAGCAAAUUAACUAACCAUUCAGGUCAAUGUCUGCUGAUAAUUAAAACAACAAUAAUAAUAAUAAUACAUUUAUUUUAAAUUGAGCAUUAAAGGGUACUCAAAGGAACUUUACAUGGUAACAAAAGAAAAAUAACAGAAACAGCAGUGGGGUAGAAUGUCAGAAAUGUUGGGGGAGAGAGUUCAAGAAGGAGGGGGCAGCAAUGUUGUAUGUAUGUUAAGUUUGAGAAAGUUAGCUUGCAUCCAUGAUUUUAUUUCUGUGAGGCAGUUUGUGAGGCAUAUGGCAGUAGUAAUGGAUUGGUGGAGAGCUGAGGGAUGUUGGCACAACAGUGGAAAAGUAGGCAUAUGAUUAUGAUGUGACCAAGGGGAACCAUGUAGAGGAUAAAGAGGAGGGGGCCAAGCACCGAACCUUGGGUGACUCCCUGAGAGACUGGGGCUGUAUUGGAUGUGUUAGUGCUGACGCACAGUUGAUGGUCGGAGGGGUAUGAUUUGAGCCAGGAGAGUGCAGUGCCAGUGAUGCUGAGGGAGGACUCAAGGCGGGAGAGGAGAAUGGUAUGGUUGAUUUUGUUGGCAGCACUGAGGUCAAGUAAAAUCAGAAUGCUGAGGGAAUGUUUGGCAUCAGAGGAGAGGAGUUGGUUGAAAGCUUGUAAGAACCUUGUAAAUGGGUCUCAAAUAUGCACUUGAUGGCUAUAUACAUGAUAUUGUGUUAAAAGACCUCCCAUAUAUAGUUACUGUAACUAAGUUAUGAUUUGAACAAAAUGUAUGUUUUGGCAAGGGAUUUAGCAAAGAAUUAACUGGCUUAUACUAAAGUCAAAUAAAAAAAUAGGCCUGCCUUUAAUAUAAGCCUGUUUCAAAGAAAGGCCUGAUUUUUUUGUUUUUGUUUGCACUUCCUCAUUAUUUUUAGGUGUUACACACCCCCACACCUCACCUAUAUCUAUGUACACAUGUAUGAUUCAUUUCAUUAUUUAUUUAAAAAUCCAGGUUUUGUGUCUAAAGAAUCAUUUUCAAAGUAAGUUACUUUGCAAACACUGAAUGUCAUGUCACUAAACGUAUUAAUAUAAUUUUAUCCAAUUCCUAACUUUUCUUAUUCUGCAGUGGACUCAUCUGAACUAGUCGCCUGAGUUGCUAACUCUCCAUCAGCCAAAGGGGCCUUUUUUUUUUAAAUGGUGCCAGUCAGAACAGCAGACACAGGCAAAACAGAGAACUGAAAAUAGACAAGUGAAGGAGGUGAAGAAGAAGGAGGGGAAAAACACACGGAGGAGAGAGCGAAGAAAAAGAGCAGAGAGUGAGAAAGAUGAAACCUUCACCCACCCCCUCACCCCCAGCGAUGAUUUGUGACUCCACUCAGAGUGCAGUGACAGCUGAAGCAAGUGGUCACUGGUUGGAAAGGGGCCACUGAGCCCUUCUAUCAGGGUUAGAAAUAACAGUAGGCCUGAAGAGUUCAAUGAAUGUUCAAGACUUUACAAGCAACAAGAAAUGUAUGAUCACUAUCAGUGUGCAGGCCCCCGGCAUGCAGUGUUCUAUUCCAUUAGAGAUACUCUAACUCUUAAGUGUGAAAGUUGGCUUGACUCUCCUAUGACCAAAAAAGUCCUGAUGGCUGACAGCUGCUGGCCUACUUAGAGACUGCAGCACAGCGUUGAAGAGGUAGGCAAUUCAACACAGAAAGGGUUACAUAACAUUAUUCCAAUGAAGAACUGUACAAGGUAGUGUCAUUUUAACAGUUUGUCCAAUUUGUUAUUUUCAUAGAAAUGUUUAAUUUAGCCACAUAUAAAAUUAUUAUUAGUUUAAUCUAGUUUAAAUGAACAAACUAAAUUGUCUUUAGUUUUUGUGAAAAGGGCCUAUAGCGUAUACCAUUUUCAUUGAGUGAAGGCGUUAGAUAAAUGGUAAAAAUAUUUUUUGGCAUAGUUAAGCCACCUCUAUUGUAGGGCUGCAAAGUGUCUGCUGGGUGCCUUCGCUUUGCCUCCUUGAUGCCAGCUUUCAGUCUUGCUCUGGUGGUGCUGUAUGCUUCCAUGUCACCUGACCAAAGGCAGCUUUUUUGGCUCUGAGGAUUGAAACUUUUUAAAAUGUGUGUGUAGAUGUACCAAAUAUAUAUGGUCAAAAGACAAAAAACAAACAACUGACCCAUUUAGAAAUAGAAAGCAUUUAGAGAUCAUACUUCCAACUCAAGCUGUACAAUAUUCAAUAUUUUAAUAAUUGAAUUGUGACCGAGAGGGAGUGGCCUAAGGAUAUAAUAUAUCAAAGAUAUAUUGAUGGUGCAUUGAGAAAGUUGAAAGUUGAAAAGCUGUUCGCUCACAGACCCCUCUUUUCCCACAGUCUCACAACGCAACAUACGACUUUGGCAACAUUUUUAUUUACUUGAUUGUAUUUUUUCUGUUUAGUUAAGCACCGCUUUAGGUAAAUUUUCUAAGAUAAUUAUGACAGCUGCUGUACAGUAAACUACAGCAGAGGAAACAAAAAGACCUUAAGUUAGCCAAUACAAUAAAUGAGGCAAGCUCACUUUCCUAGUUAACUACCCUAUACUCAUAAAUUAUUGCUAAUGUUGUAUACAUCCUGGCAUUUCUUGCAUACAGAAAGUUUGCAUACUAUACAGUUGAACAGACUACACUACAGUACAGCUUUAGAGUUUUUUUUUUAUUAUUAUUAUUUGCAAGUUUGUCUUUUAUCAGUGUUCAGCCUUUUCCCUUGUGUUUUCUCAUUGUAUGCACUACCACUUUCAGUUGAUGGAUUUUUCCUUCUGUUUUGGAUUACUGCCUCGUCAUCUUGUAAGUUUAUGUUCCAGCAUGUUUUUCUUUAUUAAAUUAUCUGGACAGCAUUGUCACCUUAGUGUGUUCAGUGUCCUUUGUAGUUGUGCUCUUUCAGUGGGAAAAGAGGAUGGUAAAUUAUUAUUCUCAUUAAAAUAAGCAGUGGUUGGUGGAUCAGAUACAUGCUGAAUUGGAUACAGACUGACCACCAAUUAUGUAUAUGUCGGUAUCUGAGGAGUUUUUUUUGGCUGUUACCAAAGACAGGCUGACAUCUAUUUCUGGUUCCUCAUCGGUGGUCCGCCUGACACCUGUUCCUGGUUCUUCGUCUGUGGACUGUCCGCAUCUGUUUAUUGCACUCGUGUCACUGGUCUCUGGUCCUCCAUUCCGUCCUUUGGCCUGCAGUCCUGCACUCCUGCACUCCAGCCGCCGGCCUCCAGUCUUUCACUCCAGCUGCCAGCCUACAGUCGUGCUCUCCUGCCUUGUGGCCAGCCAUCAGAGGGGUUCCACUGCCUUCUUCUGCGGCCACCAGAGGAGUUCUGUCACCCAGGCUCAGCCUCAGGUCUCCAGUUCCGCUUUUGCCCUGUCCCAAGGCCAUUCACCUGAGGUCUCCUGCUCCGUCCCUCUUCAGCUCUCAGGACCCUGACUCCCUCCUCUAGACCUCUCCACUCACCUGGACUUUUUGGACUCAGGGGCUACUGUGAUGAUUUGGGGUUUGGUUUGGUUGUUUCCUGUUUUAUUUUGUAGUCCUUGUGUCUUGUUUUACUUCACUGGCUCCAGGCUUAAAUCAGCCCACUUCACCGAGUUGACUUACACCAAGAUAGACACUGCUAUCAAGGGUGUUCAUAGAUGGCAUGUCUUCUCAGUACUGCCCAACAUUGUAAUUUCAUUUUACUUCGCUCCACUCCACUAUUAAAAAACUAAACAAAACCAGUGUGUUGACAUGGAUAAAAAUGAGUGUCAAUUUGAUUUGAUUCCCUGCACGCCUGUAGAGUAUAAAGUCACUGUGUUCCUUCC